rnacentral:rRNA from 1 species
UACAGAGGGUGCAAGCGUUGUUCGGAAUUAUUGGGCGUAAAGCGCGUUGUAGGCGGCUUGUUAAGUCGGGUGUGAAAGCCCCUCAGCUCAACUGAGGAAGGGCGCCCCGAAAACUGGCGAGCUUGAGUGUCGGAGGAGGAUGGCGGAAUACCCCAAGUAGAGGUGAAAUUCGUAGAUAUGGGGUGGAACACCGGUGGCGAAGGCGGCCACUCUGAGCGACAACUGACGCUGAGACGCGAAAGCGUGGGUAGCAAACAGG